rnacentral:tRNA from 1 species
GCCCGAUUAGCUCAGCUGGUUAGAGCGUCGUACUAAUACUGGAGACAGUAAAUAGUCUAUGCGAAGGUCAACAGUUCAAUCCUGUUAUUGGGCA